rnacentral:rRNA from 1 species
UACGGGGGGGGCAAGCGUUGUUCGGAAUCACUGGGCGUAAAGCGCGCGCAGGCGGUCCUUUAAGUCGGGGGUGAAAGCCUGUGGCUCAACCACAGAAUGGCCCUCGAUACUGGACGGCUCGAGACCGGAAGAGGUUGGUGGAAUUGCGAGUGUAGAGGUGAAAUUCGUAGAUAUUCGCAAGAACACCGGUGGCGAAGGCGGCCAACUGGUCCGGAUCUGACGCUGAGGCGCGAAAGCGUGGGGAGCAAACAGG